rnacentral:rRNA from 1 species
ACCCUACGGGGCGCAGCAGUGGGGAAUAUUGGGCAAUGGGCGCAAGCCUGACCCAGCAACGCCGCGUGAAGGAAGAAGGCCCUCGGGUUGUAAACUUCUUUUCUUCGGGACGAAACAAAUGACGGUACCGAAUGAAUAAGCCACGGCUAACUACGUGCCAGCAGCCGCGGUAAUACGUAGGUGGCAAGCGUUAUCCGGAUUUACUGGGUGUAAAGGGCGUGUAGGCGGGAGAGCAAGUCAGACGUGAAAUUCCAG